rnacentral:rRNA from 1 species
CAUGCAUGUCUAAGUAUAAGCAAUUAUACCGUGAAACUGCGAAUGGCUCAUUAAAUCAGUUAUCGUUUAUUUGAUAGUACCUUACUACUUGGAUAACCGUGGUAAUUCUAGAGCUAAUACAUGCUGAAAACCCCAACUUCGGGAGGGGUGUAUUUAUUAGAUAAAAAACCAACGCCCUUCGGGGCUUCUUGGUGAUUCAUGAUAACUUCACGGAUCGCAUGGCCUUGCGCCGGCGACGGUUCAUUCAAAUUUCUGCCCUAUCAACUUUCGAUGGUAAGGUAUUGGCUUACCAUGGUUUCAACGGGUAACGGGGAAUUAGGGUUCGAUUCCGGAGAGGGAGCCUGAGAAACGGCUACCACAUCCAAGGAAGGCAGCAGGCGCGCAAAUUACCCAAUCCCGACACGGGGAGGUAGUGACAAUAAAUACUGAUACAGGGCUCUUUUGGGUCUUGUAAUUGGAAUGAGUACAAUUUAAACCUCUUAACGAGGAACAAUUGGAGGGCAAGUCUGGUGCCAGCAGCCGCGGUAAUUCCAGCUCCAAUAGCGUAUAUUAAAGUUGUUGCAGUUAAAAAGCUCGUAGUUGAAACUUGGGCCUGGCUGGCAGGUCCGCCUCACCGCGUGUACUUGUCCGGCCGGGCCUUUCCUUCUGGAGAACCUCAUGCCCUUCACUGGGUGUGUUGGGGAACCAGGACUUUUACUUUGAAAAAAUUAGAGUGUUCAAAGCAGGCCUUUGCUCGAAUACGUUAGCAUGGAAUAAUAGAAUAGGACGUGCGGUCCUAUUUUGUUGGUUUCUAGGACCGCCGUAAUGAUUAAUAGGGACAGUCGGGGGCAUCAGUAUUCAAUUGUCAGAGGUGAAAUUCUUGGAUUUAUUGAAGACUAACUACUGCGAAAGCAUUUGCCAAGGAUGUUUUCAUUAAUCAGUGAACGAAAGUUAGGGGAUCGAAGACGAUCAGAUACCGUCGUAGUCUUAACCGUAAACUAUGCCGACUAGGGAUCGGGCGAUGUUCUUUUUCUGACUCGCUCGGCACCUUACGAGAAAUCAAAGUUUUUGGGUUCUGGGGGGAG